GGUCACUGCUAUUGGGGUUCGGCUAAGCCAUGCGAGCGGAGGGCGCGGUCGCAAGAUCGUGGCCCCGCACACGGCUCAGUAACACGUAGUCAACCUACCCUUGGGACGGGGACAACGCCGGGAAACUGGCGAUAAUCCCCGAUAGGUGAGGGAUGCUGGGAUGCUUCUUCGCUCAAAGCUCCGGCGCCCGAGGAUGGGACUGCGGCCUAUCAGGCUGUUGGUGGUGUGACGGACCGCCAAACCUACGACGGGUACGGGCGAUGGGAGUCGGAGCCUGGAGAUGGGGACUGAGACAAGGCCCCAGGCCCUACGGGGCGCAGCAGGCGCGAAAACUCCGCAAUGCGCGCAAGCGUGACGGGGGAACCCCAAGUGCCGUUGGCUUUUGAUCGACGGCUUUUCGGAAGUCCAAUAAGCUUCCGGAAUAAGGGCUGGGUAAGACUGGUGCCAGCCGCCGCGGUAACACCAGCAGCCCAAGUGGUGGCCGCGAUAUUGGCCUAAAGCGCUCGUAGCCGGAUCAGCAAGUCCUUUGUGAAAUCGGACCGCCCAACGGUUCGGCGUGCAAAGGAUACUGUUGGUCUUGAGACCGGGAGAGGUCGGAGGUACUCUUGGGGUAGCGGUGAAAUGCUGUAAUCCUGGGGGGACCACCAGUGGCGAAGGCGUCCGACCAGAACGGAUCUGACGGUGAGGGGCGAAGGCUAGGGGAGCGAACGGGAUUAGAUACCCCGGUAGUCCUAGCUGUAAAGCAUGCGGGCCAGGUGUCUAGCGCUCCUUGAGGGCGCUAUGUGCCGGAGGGAAGCCGUUAAGCCCGCCGCCUGGGAAGUACGGCCGCAAGGCUGAAACUUAAAGAAAUUGGCGGGGGAGCACCACAAGGGGUGGAACCUGCGGUUCA
rnacentral:rRNA from 1 species